rnacentral:lncRNA from 13 species
UGUGUGUGUGUGUGUGUGUGUAGGCCCGAUUUGAAGCCCAGCAUUCUCAGUUGGAAGUAAAGCUGAAACAGGAGACUGAGAGACUGUCAGCUUCACAGCAGGAACACAUUGCCCUGAAAGAACAGCACAGGAAUCAGCUGCUGGAUCUGAGUGCUCGCCAUGAGAGAGAACUUUCCUCCCAGUUACAGCAACACCAGCAGCACACACUGGCACUCACCCAGGACUACCAGACCAGGUAACACACACACACGGAAAGUUUAUCACACCAGGUUGGUUUUUGCACUCGUAGUGGUUUCUGCCCAUUUUGUGUGUGUGUGUGUGUCUCUCUCUCUCAGGCUGGCCCACUCCAAGCAGCAGUCUGUUUUGUUGGAGGAGAGCAGGAGGAGGCUCGAAGGGCAGAGAGAGGAGCUUGUGAGCAGACUGCAGAGUCUACUACGCUCCCAUUGGACAGAAGCACUGAGACUGCUCAGCACACAGGCAGAAGGGUCUUCUCUUCCUUCGCUGUGGGACGAGCCCAAAGACUGGAUGAACCAACAUCUACUACAGGAACCAUCAUCUAGUUCACACAUUACAGUACAGUACAGAGCUGCAGCUGACACGCACAUGGUACAGAGAGAGCAGGAGGUGGAGGAAGUUGCUCGCUUGGCACAAGACGCUCAAGCAGUGGUCCUCCGACUCUCCAGAGAGAGAGGUGAAUUAAGUGGAGAGGGUGAAGCAAGAGCGAUAACAGAGGGAAGAGAGAGAAGUUGGGAGAGAGGGGCAGGAAAAGAAGAGAGUGGAAACCUCAGCGUGCUGAACCACACUCUCUCCUUCAACCUUCUGGAGCCACAACUAGACACCACCAACAUGACAGCAGGACUUGAGGAGCUGUGUGACAGAGGGGGAGAUCUGAGGGGAUGUGUGGCGGAGGAAGAGGAGCAUAAGGGACAAAGACAGAGAGCUGAGAGUGGAGAGAGGCAACAGUGGGCGGAGAGGGGUCCCAGCCUCACCUCUGGCCCCAGCCCUAGCUUUGACCCCGGAAGGAGGAGUGAACUACAGUACUAUGUCGCCAUGUUGUUAGAUCGUUCUCCAGGAGAGCCCGUGGAGAGUCCAGCUCAGGACAACACAGGUCUGGGGUCAUCGUGGGACAGUGUGAAGAUUCAGCUUCACACCCCUCUGGAAACUCCCUCCUCCCCUGGAGCCCAAACCAGACACCCCACAUGCAAUCCAACUAACACAGGUCAGGUGUCAGCCCAGCUCAGGUCUCUCCUGGUGCAGUUCCCCUCCCAGCCUGACAGGGCGGCGCGCUCUCUGCAGUUGCUCUCUAAGCUGACCCAUGGGUCUGAUGGUGAGUGUGAGGAGAAGCCGAGCCGCCUGAAGAAGAGCGAACCACUCCUUCAGAACUCUGUAGUGUCCCGGGUAACUAGUCAGGGGUCCGGGGUGAGGGGUCAGGUGCCGGGUAUGAGGGGCAGAAGGGGGUGGCAGGGAAGGGGGGGAGCGUGGAGAUGA